CGUAGGGGGCGAGCGUUGUCCGGAUUUAUUGGGCGUAAAGAGCUCGUAGGCGGUUAGACAAGUCGGGUGUGAAAGCUCGAGGCUCAACCUCGAGACGCCACUCGAUACUGUUUUGACUGGAGUCCGGUAGAGGAGUGCGGAAUUCCUGGUGUAGCGGUGAAAUGCGCAGAUAUCAGGAGGAACACCAACGGCGAAGGCAGCACUCUGGGCCGGUACUGACGCUGAGGAGCGAAAGCGUGGGGAGCAAACAGGAUUAGAUACCCUGGUAGUCCACGCCGUAAACGUUGGGCACUAGGUGUGGGGGGCUGUCAACGCCCUCCGUGCCGUAGCUAACGCAUUAAGUGCCCCGCCUGGGGAGUACGGCCGCAAGGCUA
rnacentral:rRNA from 1 species